rnacentral:rRNA from 1 species
GCAAGUCGAGCGAACAGAUAAGGAGCUUGCUCCUUUGACGUUAGCGGCGGACGGGUGAGUAACACGUGGGUAACCUACCUAUAAGACUGGAAUAACUCCGGGAAACCGGGGCUAAUGCCGGAUAACAUAUAGAACCGCAUGGUUCUAUAGUGAAAGAUGGUUUUGCUAUCACUUAUAGAUGGACCCGCGCCGUAUUAGCUAGUUGGUAAGGUAAUGGCUUACCAAGGCGACGAUACGUAGCCGACCUGAGAGGGUGAUCGGCCACACUGGAACUGAGACACGGUCCAGACUCCUACGGGAGGCAGCAGUAGGGAAUCUUCCGCAAUGGGCGAAAGCCUGACGGAGCAACGCCGCGUGAGUGAUGAAGGGUUUCGGCUCGUAAAACUCUGUUAUUAGGGAAGAACAUAUGUGUAAGUAACUGUGCACAUCUUGACGGUACCUAAUCAGAAAGCCACGGCUAACUACGUGCCAGCAGCCGCGGUAAUACGUAGGUGGCAAGCGUUAUCCGGAAUUAUUGG